rnacentral:pre_miRNA from 14 species
GUAUGCACUCAUUGAUAAGUGGCUAUUGAAAGACCCCCGAAGGGAGCCCCCCACUCAAGUCUCGGGAAAGACGCGCACCCAGUAGGACACAGACACCG